rnacentral:rRNA from 1 species
GACGAACGCUGGCGGCGUGCCUAAUACAUGCAAGUAGAACGCACAGUUUAUACCGUAGCUUGCUACACCAUAAACUGUGAGUUGCGAACGGGUGAGUAACGCGUAGGUAACCUGCCUGGUAGCGGGGGGUAACUAUUGGAAACGAUAGCUAAUACCGCAUAAUAUUAAUUAUUGCAUGAUAAUUGAUUGAAAGAUGCAAUUGCAUCACUACCAGAUGGACCUGCGUUGUAUUAGCUAGUAGGUGAGGUAACGGCUCACCUAGGCGACGAUACAUAGCCGACCUGAGAGGGUGAGCGGCCACACUGGGAGUGAGACACGGCACAGACUCACACGGGAGGCAGCAGUAGGGCAUCUUCGGCAAGGGACGAAAGUCUGACCGAGCAACGCCGCGUGAGGGAAGAAGGGUGUCGGAUCGUAAAGCUCUGUUGUAAGAGAAGAACGGGUGUGAGAGUGGAAAGUUCACACUGUGACGGUAUCUUACCAGAAAGGGACGGCUAACUACGUG